GCGGGAAGCGCUGAGGGCACCGCGGGGCCGGAAAUAGAGCGUCUUUAAAAAUAAAGGGGGGGGGAAAAAAAAAGAAAAUAAGAGUUAAAUUAUUUACUACAGUGAUAACUCUAAAGGAAUAGCCACAGGUCUGUCCGGGGCCAUCUGAACAUGUGUUCAGAGCCGUGUCAGGGAUCACAAGUCCACGGGCUCAGCUGUCAGACAAAAUAAUUCCGGGUUUACCCCCCAAAUGAACGCUUAGAGGAGUAAAACGCUUUGGGAAGCGUUUUAUAAGCAUAGCAGUUGACCUGAUGUUGUUCUUAAAUUGAUUGUUUUAAAAUGUUUGGUUGUUUGCUUUAAGCAACCGCAGUUGCGGUUGAUUGCGCCUCCUUUGGCAAACAGCCUCAUGUUCCCCUGGCCCAUGGUCUGAACCGAUCUGAAAACUUUUCCUCACUUCUCUUUCUUUUUCUUUUCCCUUUACAGAUCCUGAGACAGCCGUGGGUUCUUCUUUAUGCUUGGUUUUUCAUAUUCCCCUGUGUUACCCCCCAGCCCAGGACAAGUGGCGAAGCAAACGCGUUCCUUUUCCAUCCAGAUCCCAAACGUUCCGCGUCCUCCCUUCCCUGUGCCAACACAGCGAGCGAGCACUGAGGGCUUCGUUGCUUUGCCAUGGGCCGUCAAAUCCUGCCUUGCUUCAUCCAAACUGUUUUUCACUUGUGGGCUCUUUUUAUAUCUUCAGCAAACAGGUGAAGGCAUUUUUUACAGCAGGCAGGGCUGGGCCUGUGUGCUCACACACAAGAAAAAUGAAACACUUUGUGGCCUUCUGGAAAAGCCAGAAUUGCGCAACCCUGCUGUUUAUUGCAUCUGUUGAUGGUUAUAAUUCCUGCCAGCCCUUUGUUUUCCGGAAAACAGCCGAGUCCCAGGUCAUCAGACAACUUUUCUGACGGGAUUAUUUUGAUUCUUGUGUCUGUUGAGGUACGUAAGGACCUUUCCCUUUUUUUCCCUAGGAUUGUGUAACUUCGAAUUAGCUUCAUAUUCCUUUAUUGUUUUAUGGUUUAAGUACAGCUCUGUGUGAUUUUGUGCAGGGGAGGGCAGGAACUGGAUUUACAGCUUCUCUCUUCAAUAAGUUUCUAGUCAGUUGAAACGCUGCCAGCUUCAGGAAAACAGCUCCAGGUUUGCCCUUUAUGAGGGAAAAAAAAAUAUGCAGGCGCUCUGUGCCUGUGGGGUUUAUGGGUGAUCUUCCUGCUGAAAUUCUUCUGUUCUGUAUAUUCCAGUGUUACAAUGACUUCUUCUUUUGCUUGAAAUUUCUUCGGUCGAAAGUGAAACUGCAGAUAAGUGUGUUUGGGCUAAUUUAGUGGUUUUCAGGCUGGAAGAUUGAGGUGGUUUUGCUGUGGCUGUGACGGUGCAUUGUUCUUCUGAGAAGUGAUUCCUCUAAUUCCAGAGCCAAAUCCAUAGGUGAAUGUGGGAAAUUGAAAAAUACCAGGAACUUUUAUGUUGCUGUCAAUCCUAAUUGGCUUAGGAAACAGGAGUCAGUGAGGGGAAAUGUGUUUCUUUCUCUUUCUGGCUUGUUCGUGGUAGGUCAGAAGAGUUAUAGAAGUGUAGUCUUUUAAUCGUCUGUGGGAGUGCUUAUGAGUUGGGAAUGCUGUGAUGACAUUUCUCGGACACUUGGGAAAAAUGCCCUUUAUAGUUCUGUCUCUGUUAUGGCAUAAAAGCCUUUCCAGACCAGUCUGAAACUUUCUCCUUGUCUCUGCCAUUUAAAUGUACACGAUGGAAGUAUCCUCGCCCUGCUGAAUCAGCAGGGAGCCUGGCCUGAUUUCUGCCGUGCUGAGACUUCCACAGUCCCGUCCCUCUCUCCUAAGUUUGUAUAGAUGUGAAGGUGUUGGAGAUUCCACACUGUGUGGCAAUAAAAACACACUUCCAUUAUCUCAGUUUACAGCACUCAGGGGCACCCAGCUGGGAGCAAUGCAGCCUCACAGAAAAACUGAAGUUUAUGAUAUCACCACAAGCUCUCGGUAAUAAAUCAAGAUCUGGCUUGCAGUUUUACAAGCAAAGGUAAAAAGAUGGCAGCAAGCACUUGAAGGAGUGGCAGGAAGGGCUCCAGAAGGCUCGUGCACAGAUCCACAGGAGGGAGAGCAGCCGAGGGUGCUGUGUGGUGUGCAUGCUCCCCCUCACCUGCUGCAGGUACCUCAGCCUCCCAGGGACCCUUUUCCCCGGGAGCCCGUGUCCUCUCCCGAGCAAUCCAUCGCCUCACAGCCCCGGGAUCCCUCGGUCGGGCCAUGGAGGGGCAGAGCGCCGUGGCCGCGCUGCUGCAGGAGUGCCAGCGAGCCCUGCACGCCGAGCUGCCGCCGGCCCCGGCCCCGGCGGAGCACCGGGAAUACCGGCGCUGCCAAGCCCUGCUUCCUGAGGAGCUGAGGAGCCUGCUGGAGGAGGCAAAGGAAAUGAAGUGGCCCUUUGUGCCGGAGAGGUGGCAGUACAAACAAGAGCUGGGCCCAGAAGACAAAACAAACCUGCAAGAUAUGAUCAGCGCCAGGCUCCCUGACCUGCUGGCUUAUCUGAAGGCGUCCAUCCUGGUGAGGGACAGCAGCACCGCCACGGCCGUGCUGUUCCUGCUGGACCGCUUGCUGUACUGGCUGGACGCCUCCAGCCGGCUCCUGCGGCUGGCCAAGGCGCUGCACCGCCUGCACCCCGGCGCUCCCAUCAGCCCGCAGCUGCUCAUCCGCCAGGCCCGCCUCGCCGCCAACGCAGGUAAACUUUUAAAAGCUGAAUAUAUCCUGAGCAGCCUGAUUAAUGACAAUGGAGCAACGGGAACCUGGCGGUACGCCGAGGAGAGCGAUCGGGUUCUUGUUCAGGCAGUCUGCCUGCAAAUCAGGGGACAGAUCCUGCAAAAGCUUGGGAUGUGGUACGAGGCAGCAGAGUUGGUCUGGGCUUCAGUCGUGGGAUACUUCCAGCUUCCUCAGCCAGAUAAAAAGGGAAUUGCCACAUCCUUGGGUAUUAUGGCAAACAUCUUUGCUUCCAUGGAUGAGCAGGAUUAUGCACGCUUCAAAAGCAAUGCUGACAUUGACCUGAGCCUCCUGCAGGAGUUCAACCACCGCCUGUUGUCGGCGGCCGAGGCCUGCAGGCUGGCAGCUGCCUACAGCCAGUACACGCCCCUGUUUGUCCUCACGGCCGUGAACAUCCGUGGGAUGUGUCUGCUGUCCUACAGCCACUCCAAGGACUGUCCCCCAGAAAAGAGAGAGUUCUACUUGUCUGAAGCCAAGGAAUCCUUCGAGGUGGGGCUCCUCACCAAGGAGGAGCAGAGUGCCAUCCCCAGCAGGCAGGAGCUGCACAGUUUCAUCAAAGCCGCCUUCUGCCUUGCCACCGUGCACCGCUGGCUCCACGGGGAAAGCCAGGAGCUCCGUCAGGUCACCCAGCUGUGCAGGGAAGCCCUGGGCAAGCUGCACUCCUACAGCACCUCCUCCCCAGAGGAGGAGGAUAAGGGGAUGCUGGCCAAAGAGAUCAUGUGUCUGAUUGCAGCCGUGAGGAGGCGCCUGCGGGUGGGAGGCUUCCCCAACUCCGAUGCCAGGUCUUAUGUCCCAGACAGUUAUAAAGGCUCGGUACAAAAACCCGUCCUGCAAGGGAAAGCCAGCUUUGAGAAAAUCCUUGCCAAGCAUUCCCAGCACCACCUGUCAGUGUGCCAAGUGUUUGAAAAAACUUGCAGGAUUCAUAAAACCACACCGGGAGAGACCCAGGUGGGAGCUUGUAUCACAACCCUAAGAACAGAGACCAAAACUAUGGACACCGUGUGUACUGCUGAGGACACAGUUCACCAGAGGAAUGGUGCUGUGAAAAUCUUGGGCUCACCAACAGCAGGAAGCAGCUCAGAGGGACUCAAUGGCCAAAGAAAUCAAGACAUUGGCUCUGGUGUGAUGAAAACUUCCUUCGAAGAAGAGAUGGAGCCAUUAGAAAUUGAAACAAACAGCAAAAAAGAUGUUUUCAGCAGGGGGCAAGACAGGAGCCAAAGCACUACUUCUGAGAACUCUUGGUGCAAGCUGUCCAAAUCCAGUUACUCUUCCAGCUGGGAGGAGCUGGGCUGUAAUAGCAGCAGAGAGUCCCUCAGGGACGGGCAGCAAGGGGAGAAGGGCUCAGUGGAGGAGCAGUGCUGCACCACAGAACCCGAUGGAAGCAGCCAGGACACACCCCUGUGCUCCUUGCCCACCAGAGCCUGGCAUCCUGCUCCUCGGGAGCCCCUCCGUGGCUCUGGGGGGUCUCCUCAGCAUUCCUUAGCGGGGUGUGCCCCUCGAGCGGGGAGGAUGGUGGAGAUGGAGCCUCUCUGCCGAGGAGAGCUGCGGGAGGGAAGACACCGUGGAUGGAGCUCUUCAGAAAAGAAAGCAAAGGGCUUGAACAAUGAGUUUCCUUCCCUCUCCAUCUCCUGCUCUCUUCCUACAGGGCAGGAGGAGGAGGAGAAGUCCUUUUCCUGCGCAGAGCUGAGCUGCAGGACCAAGGACAGCAGCAGGGAGGGAAGCGUCGCUGGCUUUGAGUGGCUCCAUUCAGGAGAACCUGCAGAUAGCACAGAGGAUCCCUCGUUUGAGGCACAGCCCGCCCAGAACAGGGACACUUCUGUACCAUCAACAAACACUGGGCCAAAAGCAGGCAGUGGCUCCUCUGUGCCUGGCUGGGUGGGGAAAUCUGUCCCGCUGGGGAGCAGAUCUCUCCAGGUGCCUGAAGUUGACACCCAGGCAGAAACAGCAGAUGACACUGAAUUCGAGCUCAUCAGCGCCAGAGACUUGGUAAAGGAUCCUCCCACAGCACUGGCUCCAAAGCAUGAGGCAGCUCCCAGCGUGCCAGCAGCUUCGCCCUCCCUGGGAAAGAUACCCACAGCCAAGCACUUUGACUGUGCCACUACAGAGGAGGAGGGACAGAGGUCUCAGGAUGUGGUGGGCAGCAAGGGACAAUCCAGCUCCUCUCUGAGUUCCUGGAUCAAAGCAGCAUCGAUGCCCACGAGCUCCCCUGCAGGUUCAGUCCCCAGGGGAAGUGGCUUUGCCUUCGUGCCUGGGAGAGUGAAGGAAGAGAUCCUGGAUGCUCGGAUUCUCAGGGAUGAUGAUUACAGGCAGCUUCUGGCAGGGGUGGAGCAUGACUGGCUUGUGCAGAGACUGAUGCCUACUGGGAUCUUUAGGAGCAAAGAGCUUCACAAAGCCUACUCUGCUCUUCUUCUGAAAUACUCCAAGAAAUCGGGGCUGUGGACAGGCCAGGAGACAGCUGUGUUCAUUGGGGAUUACCUGAACGUGGCCAAGGAAGGCAAGCAGAGAAAUGCCUUUUGGAUACACUUCCUGCACCAAGAAGAAAGCCUGGGAAGGUACGUUGGGAAGGAAUAUAAGGAGGAAAAAGGACUCCUCCACCAUUUCAGUGACGUGGAGCGACAAAUGACGGCCCAGUACUACGUGACAGAGUUCAACAAGAGGCUGUAUGAGCAGAAGGUCCCUACCCAAAUCUUUUACAUCCCCUCUGCAGUACUGCUGAUACUGGAAGACAGAACUAUAAAAGGGUGUGUGAGUGUGGAGCCCUACAUCCUGGGCGAGUUUGUGAAGCUGUCCAACAACACCAAGGUGGUGAAGAACGAGUACAAAGCCACGGAGUACGGUCUGGCUUACGGCCACUUCUGCUACGAGUUCUCCAAGGGAUCUGACGUGGUGGUCGACCUUCAGGGUUGGGUGACAGGUAAUGGGAAAGGCCUCAUCUACCUCACAGACCCCCAGAUUCACUCCCUCAAUAGCAAAGACUCACGCUCCAACUUUGGGAAGAAAGGAAUUUACUACUUUUUUAAUGAUCAACACGUGGAGUGCAACGAGAUCUGCAGCCGCCUGUCCUUGACCAGGCCCUCGGUGGAGCUGCUGGCCUAGGCUGGCACAGGUAUCCGGGUGAAAGGCAAAGUCUUGUUAGCUGUCUGUCGUGCCUGUGCAUUCAAGUUAGUAAAUCUGAUAUCCAGGGAACGAGCUGAUGCAACCAAAGCCUGCUAACAGAUGCUGCUUUGUGCUGCCCAGGACCAGGCAGCUAUUAGCAGCAAAUCCAGCGAGGGAAAUUAAUGAAGGCGACUACUAAUAAAAGACAGCUCAGGACAGCCCGACCAACUUGCUCCGAGCGGUUGGCUGCAGUUGGCUCUGGGGACCCCCCAUCUCCUCCAAAAAUCAGUCUCCGGCGAGAAAAGAGGGAAGUAGUGACAACCAGAAACGAAGGAGAGGAAUAAACUCAAAAUACGGGGCAAGAACGAGAAAGAAACACUUUUGGCCACGUUUAAACGAAAAAUCAGCAUGAAGGUGACAGGGGGUUAGGUGACAAAUCCAGCCUCUCCAACUCGGUUUUGCCAGCAUGGUCCUGCCGCCUCCUCAGGCCCGUUUCCUCCGAGGGCAUCUCCAGCCAAGGCCAGCCUCCCCCAGGGAACAGGGAAGGUUUUUCCCACCCCAA